rnacentral:rRNA from 1 species
UACGGAGGGUGCGAGCGUUGUCCGGAAUCACUGGGCGUAAAGGGCGCGUAGGUGGCGCGGCAAGUCAACGGUGAAAGCUCGACGCUCAACGUCGAGUCGGCCGUCGAUACUGCUGGGCUUGAGCACUGUAGAGGCAGAUGGAAUUCCGGGUGUAGCGGUGGAAUGCGUAGAGAUCCGGAAGAACACCGGUGGCGAAGGCGGUCUGACUGGGCAGUAGCUGACACUGAGGCGCGACAGCGUGGGGAGCAACAGG